CCUACGGGUGGCAGCAGGGAGGAAUAUUGGGCAAUGGACGAGAGUCUGAACCAGCCAAGUAGCGUGAAGGAUGACUGCCCUAUGGGUUGUAAACUUCUUUUAUAAAGGAAUAAAACGAGGCACGUGUGCCCUUUUGCAUGUACUUUAUGAAUAAGGAUCGGCUAACUCCGGGCCAGCAGCCGCGGUAAUACGGAGGAUCCGAGCGUUAUCCGGAUUUAUUGGGUUUAAAGGGAGCGUAGGUGGGUUGUUAAGUCAGUUGUGAAAGUUUGCGGCUCAACCGUAAAAUUGCAUUUGAUACUGGCAGUCUUGAGUACAGUAGAGGUAGGCGGAAUUCGUGGUGUAGCGGUGAAAUGCUUAGAUAUCACGAAGAACCCCGAUUGCGAAGGCAGCUUACUAAACUGUGACUGACAUUGAUGCACGAAAGUGUGGGUAUCAAACAGGAUUAGAUACCCCUGUAGUC
rnacentral:rRNA from 1 species